UAGAAUAUUAGUCUCGACAUACAACAUACUGGAAUAGCAAAUAACAUAAAAAGAUAAGUUUCGAUACAUUACAUCUUCACCACUUCCUUGUGUCCCUUAACAGGCUUAUCGGUUCAAAAUCACGUAAGAACAAGCCAAGCUCUUUGAUCCAGAAACAGCGGUUACACAUGUUAUCAUCCUUAGUGACAUCAAUGUGCCACAAGCAGUGACAUUGUCGCUGCACAAGAUUUGCACAUUGGCAUCUGUAGAACUUUUACCGAGACCCAAAAAAGUUCUCCAACCCCAGCUCUGGUCUGCAAGGGAGACAAGCACUUGCGAAGGCAAGUCCCCCUCUGCAUUGCGAUCAUCGUUAUAAGCCAACAAGAAAGUGUGUCCAUGCUUCUUCAGCUUAGAGACAAUUUCUUCGAAAUCGCCAUCACUGGUUGGAAUCAUAACAUUGACAGGCGGGGUUUUAGCAUCGAUCAUUUUUUGGAUGUCAUCGAUGAUAUAAUCGUCCGAGAUCUGGUUAUCAGAUUUCAAUGGAUCCAUUGGAUCUGUUGGUCCUGAAACAGCAAACAAACAACCGAAAAAGCAAGAUAAUCAGAUAAUCACAUUCCAGGUUAUACCAAGCAAUAUUUUAUAAAAGUAACUCACUUGGGAAAUUAUUAACUCGACAAAGCGUCAUAUUUUCCAGCAAAACACUUGGUACAACGCAAUCACUGAACGGCACUACAAUUCUAAUUUCAAUAUCACCCCCAAACCCCUCAUCUCUCAACGACUCCAAGGUUUUCAAUGUCCCACCAGAUUAUGAUCUUCAACAUGUUGAUGAAGGUCCUCAUCAACAAUGUAUUCCCCUCCAUAGAAGCGUUUGCAGCCUCCAUCUCAACUUUCGCAGCCUCCAUCUUAGAUAUCGCAGCCUCCAUCUCAGCUUUCGCAGCCUCCAUCUUAGAGAUCGCAGCCUCCAUCUCAGCGUUCACAGCCACCAUCUCAGCGUUCGCAGCCACCAUCUCAGCGUUUGCAGCCUCCAUCUCGUCUUCACCUUUCUUAGUAAGAAUAAAAAGCAAGAAUCGGAGAAUAGGGUAGAAUGAUGAAAUGAACCCUAAACCCAAGACUAUAUAUCUUUAGGGCUGUUAAUGGGCUGGAAAAUGUAUGCAAAUGUGUAUAUUUUCUUUUGUCGACAAUGUAUUAAGUUUAUAACAGAGUAUCAAAAAAAAAGGUAAGAUUAGCAAAUGAAAUUGGAACUAAAUUUAAAUAAAUAAAUAAACAAAAUAUCACAAACCAAUUUAUAUAUCACAAAGUAUAAUAAUAUACACAUAAAAAAAGUUAAUAUAUUCAAAUUGACAGAUCCAUGAAAUCAGAUCCAGAUAUCACGAUCUUAGAUUUGUAAUUGUAACACAUUAACUAAACAAAACUAAGCCUAUAAACAAAAGGUAAAAUAUUAAAACUAUAUCAUAAACUCAAAUGAGUGCUCAACCAAAUCAUCGCACCAAUUAUUGAUUGCAGAUCCGUGCCACUAAUAUAUACAAUCAAAUUGAUUGAUCCGUGACAUCGGAUUCAUAUAUCACAAUAUUAGAUUUGUAAUCGUAAAUAAAUAUAGAGAGGUUAACUAAACUAGCCUUAUGACCAAACAUAAAAGAAUGAAACUAACAGGAGUGUGGUCAAUCAAAUCAUCGCCCCAAUUACCGGAUUGCAAAUCCGUGCCAACAAUAUAUACAAUCCAAUUAUCAGAUCCGGUGAUACUGGCCACCAAUAUGUACAAAUCAAUCGCCAGUAUCCAGAUCUCUUGGGAAAUAUAAGACACUAAUAUGAAGACUUGAUGAACUCGUAUAAGGGAGUUCAUAAAAAAAUAUAAGAUUGGUUUCGAUUCAUCCUGAAUCGGAACAGAUUUAGUUUUAAAAAAUAAAAUAUAAAACACUAAUAUGAAGACACUAAUGAUGAUAGAAAAGGGCGUUCAUAAAAAAAGGAUAACGUUCGUAAACUCGUAUAAGAAGGAGAGAGAGGUUUUUUUUUAGCAACUGGAGAGAGAUGAUUAUUAUAAAACAAAACAAAACAAGUUAUGAACUGAAACUCUAGCGGAAUGGGACGUUUAUAAAUACUAGUGAGGGAUUAGGUUAAGGGCAAUCAGACAGUUAAUAAUUACUGUUAAUUCGCCAGAUGUCACGCAUUCAAUUGAUCAAUUAAAUAUAUCUACUUACCAUUAUUAAAAAUAUAUCUUUACUUUUAUACAAAACGUAAUAUUCUCUUUUCUACUUUGUUAGAAAUCGUAAUAUUCCUUCUCUCCAUGUUAAACAUAAAAGUAAAAUUCAUAAUUAUGGAAUACCCAAAAGACUCGUAAACUUAAUUACUCACCAUUCUUCAAAUAUAUAAAUACUUCACUAUAUACUCUACUUUUUUGACAAAAGUACGACAUGCAAAGUACAAGCCGCCGUUUGAACAAGUUCGCACAAAUUCUGAAAUCAUCCUGAUGUCACGCGUCAAAUCUUUACUGCUUUUAUUUAUCUCUCUUUUUUUUUUUGCUAAAAUUUUAUUUACCUCUCUCACGAAUAUAUUCUCCUGGUUGUUUUAUACAUCAAUUAGGGAAAUUAUAAUAGUCUGCUUUUUUGUUUUACAAGUGGGCAAAGGAAAGGUCGAGCGUGUAUCGUCUCGUCUGGCCAAGUACCAACAAAAGAGAAAGAUAUAAUCCUCUUGUCUAUGUGAUACAAUCAAACUUUUAAACAAUUUUUGGAAAAAUAAAUAUAGAUAUAUAGAUAUAUAAAUGUUGGUUCUUAAUCUUUAAACCGAAAUCUACCAUUAACAAACCCUAGCCAAAUCGUAUUAUAUUCGGUUAAUUUUAAUGAUCGAAAAUCUUUGGUUAAUUGAUAACUGAAAAACCGUAUCGGUUUGGUUAAGAAACUAUCACAAGACUUGUUUCUAUCAUCUCCACAUAACUUGUUUCCAUCAUCAAACUAAAGUGAUUACUUGAUCCACCCAUGCGAAGAUGCCUGCGUCACCAUCCACACAAAAACACAUUGAUUAGUUUCUUUUGUCUUUAAUCAUGCUAGGUCCUUAAAUUUAAGUUAGUUUUGCGUUUUAAUUACAAAGUUUAUGUUGAGAGCCUUUACCUUUCUCUAUUUGGCGACUGAUCAUAUGUGGGUCGGUAGGGCCAACGAGCUUUCGUGAGGGAUUGGUACGUUUGAAUUUACUGAUUUUAUUAAGAAAAUAUUGGAGUUGUUCGGUAUGUAGCAUGUUUUUUUUCGGUAUAUAGCAUGUUUUCGAAUAAUUUUAAAUAAUUCAGGUAAAAUAACAUUUUUGAUUUUUUUUUUUAAAGAAUAAAAUAUCCUUUACUGUUAAAACACCAAUCUUCUACAAUGGGAGCCAAUAUUUUGAAAUAUACUUAUUUACAUUUUUUUAUACAGGGUAUAAAUAAUACAUGCAAAUUUUAAUAAUAUCUCUAUUAAAUAUUUACUUUUUGGUUUACAUUUUUUUUUUAAAAAACUUUGGUUGAAGCAAUCUUAGCAAAUUAAUUGAAAGUAUAUGACAAACUAUAUGGAUACCAGUUAAUUUAUACUAUUAUUUAUUAAUUUCCAUAUUAUAAAAAAACAAUUUGUGUUGUGGUUUUAACAUUUAUAUGGUGAAAAUAUAAUAUCCCUUUUUCAAAAUACUAGGUGAUUUUUCGUGUUCAUGCACAGAUAUAAAUAUUUAUAAACAGAUAUAUUAUAAUAACUGAUUCUUAUUUACUUUUAGUUUUUAAUAAUAUUAUUAUUAUAUUAAUUUAUAUUAAUAAUACUAUAUUAUUUUAAUUGUACAUAUGAUUUUUGAUAUGUUAUAUCUAAUCGGUUUUGUUGCUUUACAGUCGAUUUAAAUAUCAGUUGGGUAUAUUAGAUUACAUCUAUUUCUUUAAAUUCAACUAUACUAUUUUUUAUCUAAAUAUAUUUUUUAUUCAUAUUUAGGUUGGUUGUUAUCUUACAUAUGUAAAAAUAUUUUAGUAAGAUUGUAUAUAACUAAAGAUAUAUUGUGUUUAGAAUGAAAUAAAAUAUAAACAAAAGUAUCUGAAUUCAAAUUAAAUAAAUUAAUAUAACAAUAGCAUUUCAAAGUCUCAUGCAUAUAUAUAAAUUUUCAAAAUAACUAAAUUAUAACAGUUGGUUAAUAUUUUGUUUUCAUUUUUAAUAUGUUUUGAUCCAUCCUAAAAUUUAUACUUAUUAAAUAAAUUAUAUAUAUUUUUAUUGUAGUUAAAUCUAUGAUGUAGAUAUAGAUUGGAUUAGCCGAGUCAACUCAUGUUGUGAGUAUAUUAAGUUACAUAUAUUCUUUCAAAUUUAUACUGAAGUGUUAUUAUUUUUAUUAUAACUAAUUCAGAUUAAAUUAUUUUUUAUUCAUCGUUUAAAUGCUGGUUGGAAUCAUAACAUUGAUUCCAACCAGCUCCCGUAGAUUGCUUCAAGGAGAUUGCUGUGUAAAUGAUAUAUGCUACCAAGAACAAAAUUGUUGUUGAGCUGGUUGGAAUCAUAAUUAAUCGAUGUUAAAACACCGCCUGUCAAUGUUAUGAUUCCAACCAGUGAUGGUUGGACCAGUUAUCGAUGUUAAAACCCCGCCUGUCAAUGUUAAGAUCGAUCAUUUUUUGGAUGUCAUCGAUGAUAUAAUCGUCCGAGAUCUGGUUAUCAGAUUUCAAUGGAUCCAUUGGAUCUGUUGGUCCUGAAACAGCAAACAAACAACCGAAAAAGCAAGAUAAUCAGAUAAUCACAUUCCAGGUUAUACCAAGCAAUAUUUUAUAAAAGUAACUCACUUGGGAAAUUAUUAACUCGACAAAGCGUCAUAUUUUCCAGCAAAACACUUGGUACAACGCAAUCACUGAACGGCACUACAAUUCUAAUUUCAAUAUCACCCCCAAACCCCUCAUCUCUCAACGACUCCAAGGUUUUCAAUGUCCCACCAGAUUAUGAUCUUCAACAUGUUGAUGAAGGUCCUCAUCAACAAUGUAUUCCCCUCCAUAGAAGCGUUUGCAGCCUCCAUCUCAACUUUCGCAGCCUCCAUCUUAGAUAUCGCAGCCUCCAUCUCAGCUUUCGCAGCCUCCAUCUUAGAGAUCGCAGCCUCCAUCUCAGCGUUCACAGCCACCAUCUCAGCGUUCGCAGCCACCAUCUCAGCGUUUGCAGCCUCCAUCUCGUCUUCACCUUUCUUAGUAAGAAUAAAAAGCAAGAAUCGGAGAAUAGGGUAGAAUGAUGAAAUGAACCCUAAACCCAAGACUAUAUAUCUUUAGGGCUGUUAAUGGGCUGGAAAAUGUAUGCAAAUGUGUAUAUUUUCUUUUGUCGACAAUGUAUUAAGUUUAUAACAGAGUAUCAAAAAAAAAGGUAAGAUUAGCAAAUGAAAUUGGAACUAAAUUUAAAUAAAUAAAUAAACAAAAUAUCACAAACC
rnacentral:lncRNA from 1 species